UUGACUUGUCUGCAGGCACAGUCAAGAUGGUUUUGAAGAUGCAGGCCUGAGCUCCUGCUAUGAAUGCUUAGAGCUCGUGUUUUGUUCUCCCUAAUUCCAUAUCAGAACCUGCUAAGUCCAAGGAGAGGCAGCAGUGAAAGGAUGCUGGCUCACUUCCAGUCACCUCAUUAGCAUGAGCAGCACAGAUGGAUGGGAGCAUUCAUUAGCACCGGUUCCCCGGGGAGCACAGAACUUAACAACCAUUUUAGCAGCUGUAUUGAGAACAAAAGCAUAACCCUGUUUCCACAGACAGAAAAUGUUACCUGCAUAUUCAGAUUCUUGUAGAGGUUUGGCAGGAAGGAUUCUCAAAGAAUGCAUGGCCUCCAGCACUGAAGAAUUUACAGUCUCAUACAUAUUGUCUUCCUCCUCAGACAGCUCAGAGGAAAACUGUACAUCACACUUGCCCUUCAUUGUCAAGUAUUCGCUCUGGAUCGAAGAAAAGAUAUACAGAUAAUACAAAUAAAUUUAAGUUCAAGAUUGAUUUCAGCAUGGAAAUAUAUGAUUGCCAUAACCAGACAUUUUGGUGCAUGGGAAAUUUUCUGAUGAAAACUGAAGGGUUGGAAAGCAGUUGAGGAAGUGGUUUGAUAUUGAUAUGCAUAUCAAUAUAUUUGAUCAUUGCAGACAUUGAAACUGUAUCUUUUAUUAUAAUAUUAUCCAUGUGGUGUUUGUAUUGUACUGACUGUUUACAUAUGUCACUUGCAAGAAUAUAUUAGCUAGCUCAUCACAAAUGUCACACUUCAAAAUAAAAACAUACGGUAUUUGGGGGAAUUUGUGCUGGCAAAUGUGCACUCCAAGUGAUUGUGAUAGUGAGCAUGUAUUGAACAGUGGAGUCCAUGGAAAUAUGGUGCUGAGCGUGACUCAGGAUGUCUCUGCAUGUGUCUUUACACUUGUAUAGGUUUGUUCAAGGUUGUGUUCUAGAGUGCUGCUCCACCCUUCAUCUUCACCAUUUACUCACUGAAACACAACUGCUGGCUUCCUCCAGCACAGAGCCAGUAUUGCUGCUGAGGAAAUUCGACUGAUGAUACCCCAUGGCUCUAGAAGUCACACUUUAUUACCAACAGUGUAGGUGCAUCCAUGCACUUGGGUCUUCUGUGAUGUUUUGUCUAUUUUCAAAUUUAUUUUAUUCUCAAAUUUAUUCCCUGAUGUUUGUUUGAUUCUCAUUACUAAUGGGGAAUCAACAGCUUCCUGACAUAGCGUCUUCUACCAGUUAACUGCCCUUUCAGUUCAUGCUUUUUCUCUUGAGUGCUAAAAUUGAAUCCAAUUUGUUUUACUGUCCAAGAGCACUAAAUAAAUUGAUAGCUAGCUACUUUAUUUCAAACUUUAUAUGCUAAUGCCUAUAAUUAUAUUUAUUUAUUUAUUCUUCUAAGAAACAAAUAUGCUUCAUUAAAUCUUUCCUAGAUUUUCAACCAACAUAAAAGGCUUUGAAUCUCAUAUCCUCAGUGUUACUUUCCUGUCAGCACACUCCAGCUUGUACACCUCUUUGCUAAAACACGAGGCAGACCUCCAAGAAGUGUUCUUUACAGUACAUUGCAGGGUGAGAUUUGUCUUUAUGACAGUACAUAAAAAAGUCACCACACCCUAGACAGACCCUACAGGGUACCUGUGUUUUCAGGCUCUUCUCUGCACCACUCUUUCCAGUUCAAUAGCAAUACUGUCAGCUAGGCUGAGAGUGGCUAUUUUUUCAAUCAAUUGUGCAAGCACUUUCACCUAGUUGAAAUAAUUUUCAUCUAGACCAGGCAUGUAUUUGUGAGACUGUCUUCUGGGGAAUAUCAGAGGCCUAAUAAAAAGCAAUAUAUAACAUAUUUACUGUUUUCCUUCUCAUUAUUGUAGUCAUAUUUCUGCUGAAAAUGAAAUUAGUUUGAGGAAUUGAUGAGAUGUUCUUCAUGCCACAUUAACAAUUCUUUACAUAAUCAGACUUAUUAUUUCCAAAAUAUCUUUGCUAUAAUCUUUGUUUAAUAAUUUCUCCAGGUACCAAAUAAGUCCUCAGGAUUUGCUUUCUUUAUUGGAAGAAAAUGUCGUUACCACUGUUCUUUUCCAUAAUUUUAGAAACUCAGGACUCUGGAGAAUUCCCAAAGAGAAUAAAUGAAUAUUUGAGAAAUUUCUUAAAUAAUUAUUUAAGGGUCUUAGCAUAAGUAAAUAAUUUCCUGACCAUUCUUUCCCCAUUCUGCUCUGUGCUGUGUUUGCCUUCUAUUUGGUAUUAAUCCCACAUAGGAACUGAUUGUUAUUAAUCAUUCUGUGAAAUCUGAAGCUGUCAAAGUAUUGAUUGCAUCAAAUUUUUUAAGUCAUCCUUCAUUUGUUCAACUUAUUUAUUAAAACAUAGACCUGUGCUUUAUUUUCAUCUUUUUGUGAUUUAAAAGGUAUUUACACUAUUUUUUUAGACACCUGAACUGAAACUCAAACCCAGAUUUCAAAUACAAAUGGAAAGACAUUGAAAUGUGUUGUUUGCUUUUCAGCUUUUAUUUAUAUUGCUUACCUAUUUAAUCUUGAGGUUUAUGACUUAUAUCCUUGUUUAGCUUGACUCCUGUUAUUUUUACUUGAUCUUAUGAUAAAGGUGUAUUUUAGAUUCAGCCCAUAAAUGGAGAAUUGGUGAGUGAGUCACUUCUCCAGUCUAGAUCCCACUUUAAAAAACUAAAUGUUCUCAUCUGUAUUUCACAAUUCUUAUGCCUUAUUUUGCAUUAAAAACCAUGAUUGAAUUUUUGUUAGUAUUAUAGCUGAGAUGAUAUUAACAUACAUCAGGAAGAGAAAAAAAGGUAAAAUUUUAGGAAGAACAUAUGGUACUUACAGAAUGAGAGGUGUUAGCAGGAAUAGUUCUCUUUUCUGUAUGAAAUGGAGAAAAGCUGUCAGCAGGUCCCAUUCUAUUGUAAAUUAUACAGUAGCUAGUAACUUAUAUAAAGGAAUAAAAGUUUGCCAACCG